rnacentral:rRNA from 1 species
AACAAACGCUGGCGGCGUGCCUAAUACAUGCAAGUCGAACGGGGAAAGCUUUCGGGUGAGUACUAGUGGCGCACGGGUGAGUAACGCGUGGAUAAUCUGCCUUAGAGUGGGGGAUAACCAGUCGAAAGAUUGGCUAAUACCGCAUAAGACCACAAGAGCUGCGGCUCAAGGGGUCAAAGGUUUUUCGCUCUAAGAUGAGUCCGCGUAAGAUUAGCUAGUUGGUGAGGUAAUGGCUCACCAAGGCGACGAUCUUUAACUGGUCUGAGAGGAUGAUCAGUCACACUGGAACUGAGACACGGUCCAGACUCCUACGGGAGGCAGCAGUAGGGAAUAUUGCACAAUGGAGGAAACUCUGAUGCAGCGACGCCGCGUGAGUGAUGAAGGCCUUCGGGUCGUAAAGCUCUGUCGCAGGGGAAUAACACAAUGAAUGUACCCUGUAAGAAAGGAUCGGCUAACUUCGUGCCAGCCGCCGCCGUAACAC